UUUGUUUUCAGACAGCUAUUGUUGUUUGCAGUCAAGAGAAGUGUGCUGUGGUAAGAGAGAGGGGGCAUCCUUAAGAGAUCAUUUAUUGGCUAGGCUGGUGGCCAGCCAUAUGCUAUAGAGACACAGUGCACAGCUGAUGAAGAGAAUAUCUUGCAAAUCAGAAUAGGAGAGAUUCUAUAUGCUACAGCUGAAUUGUCAACCUCUCUUGUCAGCUUCUCUCUAUUGCCUUCAACCUUUCUCAGACAUUCCAUUUUUUGGCCUCAUUUCUACCUGCCUUCACCAAGCCUGCAUCAAUAAGAACAAGUGGGUAAGAUCACUUUCCCUGGUCUGCCAUGUCACCAGGGGCACACACAGCUGCUUGGGAGAUGUGUACUGUCUCCUGAGUUCCAUUGUCCAACUCAAGGCAGCCUACCAGACACCUGAGGCACUAGGAAUUCUCAGCAGAGUAAUCCCAAAUGUCAAAGAAGCAGUUAAUGAAAUACUCAAAGUUUUUAGUCAUCAGAGAAAUACAAAUCAAAAGGACUCUAGGAUUCCAUUUUACAACUGUCAUGUCAAGAAUGUGGAGCAAGAGGAACAUCCUACAUUGCUGGUUAGAGUGAAAACUUACACAUCAGCAUUGAAAAUCAACUUGGGAGUUUAUCAGAAAUUUGGAAGUUGUUCUACCUCAAGAUCCAACUUUACCAGCCCUGGACUUACACCCAUACUAUGCUCCACCAUCCCUCAACGAUGCUUGCUCAACUAUGUUAUAGCAGCCUUAGUCAUAAUAGUCAGAAACUAAAAGCA